rnacentral:rRNA from 1 species
UACGAAGGGGGCUAGCGUUGCUCGGAAUCACUGGGCGUAAAGGGUGCGUAGGCGGGUUUUUUAAGCAGAGGUGAAAUCCUGGAGCUCAACUCCAGAACUGCCUUUGAUACUGAGAUCUUGAGUUCGGGAGAGGUGAGUGGAACUGCGAGUGUAGAGGUGAAAUUCGUAGAUAUUCGCAAGAACACCAGUGGCGAAGGCGGCUCACUGGCCCGAUACUGACGCUGAGGCACGAAAGCGUGGGGAGCAAACAGG